GAUGAACGCUGGCGGCGUGCCUAAUACAUGCAAGUCGAGCGAACAGACGAGGAGCUUGCUCCUCUGACGUUAGCGGCGGACGGGUGAGUAACACGUGGAUAACCUACCUAUAAGACUGGGAUAACUUCGGGAAACCGGAGCUAAUACCGGAUAAUAUAUUGAACCGCAUGGUUCAAUAGUGAAAGACGGUUUUGCUGUCACUUAUAGAUGGAUCCGCGCCGCAUUAGCUAGUUGGUAAGGUAACGGCUUACCAAGGCAACGAUGCGUAGCCGACCUGAGAGGGGGGUCCGGCACCCUUGAACUUGGACACGGUCCAAGCCCCCUAGGGAGGGAAGCGUUGGGGAUCUUUCCGAAAUGGGCGAAACCCGGCGGAGGCAACGCGGGGGGAGGAAUGAGGUUCUCCGGUCCGUAAAACUUUGUUAUUAGGAAAGAAAAAAUUUUUAGUUAACUAUGACCGUUUUGCGGUUACCUAACCAGAAGGCCACGCUAACCUCGUU
rnacentral:rRNA from 1 species